GACGAACGCUGGCGGUGUGCUUAACACAUGCAAGUCGAACGGUAAGGCCCUUUCGGGGGUACACGAGUGGCGAACGGGUGAGUAACACGUGAGUAACCUGCCCUCAUCUCUGGGAUAACAGUCGGAAACGGUUGCUAAUACUGGAUAUGAGCUUGCAAGGCAUCUUGUGGGUUGGAAAGAUUUUUUUGGUUGGGGAUGGACUCGCGGCCUAUCAGCUUGUUGGUGAGGUAGUGGCUCACCAAGGCUCCGACGGGUAGCCGGCCUGAGAGGGCGACCGGCCACAUUGGGACUGAGAUACGGCCCAAACUCCUACGGGAGGCAGCAGUGGGGAAUAUUGCACAAUGGACGGAAGUCUGAUGCAGCAACGCCGCGUGCGGGAUGACGGCCUUCGGGUUGUAAACCGCUUUCAAUUGUGACGAAGCUUUUUGUGACGGUAGCAGUAGAAGAAGCACCGGCUAACUACGUG
rnacentral:rRNA from 1 species